CUUGGCUGCACGGUCACUGGUCUUUUCGCUCUCACAAAGGGCGAGUGCAAGACGACAUUUUACUGUUGACUGAGGGAAACUCUCCCGACAGGCACAAGACCGGAGCUUAAUGUACACAACCGGCCCAGCUACCCGGGAUAUUAAGUGACCAUUUCCAUUUCCCCGGCAGGAUUAAGCUGAGUUGGAAAUCUACUCUGUGAAAGUUGCGCUCCUCUUCCUCUGCGGCGUAUGCCUGGGCCCGGGUGGAACGCUGCCUGCCUUCAGUGUAGGGACUGUACGGUGUGACACUUUCUUUUCUGUAUGCUAAAUAUCUCACUGUUAUUAUUUUAUUGAGAUUGUGGUUUGAAUAUUGCAUGCUUUCGUUGUUUUGGUGUGUGGCUUUUCUUGUUUUUGUCCCUCACGAUUAGCAGGCACUGCAACCCAGCGGAC